UUCUCGAGUAAUAACCAGAAAAUGUUUGAAAAACUUGGUGUUUUAAUCGCCAUUUUGAAAUAAUUGAUAGUGUAGCCGAACGCGUUCUUCAAUUGUUUUUUUUUUUUAAUUAGUAUAGUUUACCCGUCCUUGAAAAUCGAAUUAUCAUUAAGGAGUUUCUAACAGUGCACCAAGUGAGAGCUCCGCUUCCAGUUCCAAUAAUUACGGAAAACCUCUGGGUCAUCGUCGAAUUCACAGCUAACAAAAAUAAAAGCAUCAUAAUCGGUCCCCGCAUUACCCGGAAGGUGUAAAAUAUUACAAUGAAAAAGCCUAGAAUGAUGCUCCCGGUAGUUGUUCCGGCAAAAGAGUGAUGGCGGAGAAGGCCCGGAUGAAGAAGCUAUAUCCAAACAUGGUCGAGUAGAAGAUCCGGUUUAUCAUUGACGAAAACAAUCGACUUCCUAGGAUCGAAGCAUAUCCAAACCUGCCUCCACAUAAUUUUAUCGGAAUGUUUUCUCUGACGCGUUAAAUUCCAGGUUGGGAACACAAGUGCUCGAUUUUACGGAGAGUUUUUGCUAAUCAGAGCAGUCGAAAAUCUGCCUCGGGCAGAUACGGAAACCUACAGCUGUGAGAUGCGAGUUUUCAUCGAGGAUGCUGCUAGUGAGAACUAUCAGGAACAAUCGGUUAAAGCACAUUUUAGGACCUAAAAAGAGCAAUUGUAUUAUAUCGGAUCUGAUCCA